AGGGAGGGGCUCCCUAACUGAGCAGCCUGCUGCCCCCAGCCGAGUUUGGUGGCAGCAGUGGGAUCCAAAGGAGACGCCUGAUGGCUUCGAGGAUGAGAAACAGUCAUUGGUACCAGCAAAACCUUUGAGUUCUCCAUCUUUUUCACUGUUUCUGAGGGCUGUGGGAGUUCGAGAUCCUGAAGAACUUCUUCUCGUCCUGCACUGUCAACUCUGCUCUGCAGAAAACCUUCACAAGCCACCUGAAGAACACACGGGGGAAGUUUCCCGGAGGGGCCCUCCACGUUUGCUCCCCCAGAGAGCAACCCCCAGAGAGUGCAGGAGAAGCAGCAGCAGCGGCAGGGGAAUGGGAUCAACCUUGAGAAGAGUACUGAGGAGCAGCUGUGGCACUCCCUGCAGGGGAGGGGAAGGAGGUGGAAAUCAGAGACCUUCUGGGCAGAACAGUCCUUGGCUUCACCCGCUGUAUCUUACAUUGAGUGGAAGAGUUUGAUACCAGAGAAGUGGGAGACCCAUCCAAUUGGCGGCUACACCUUGUCCUGCCAGCCAGAGCGCUAGACCUAGUUGGCCUGCAGAGUACGCAAGGCCAAGAAGAACCGGCCAUCAUCAAGGUCAGGGGUGAGUGAGUGUCUGGGCCGGGGUGACUGACUCCUAGGGGUUCAGUAAGGCUUUGGGCUAAGCGUGGCCUUGGGGAGUCGGAUAGCUGGCACUGGGAUCCCAGCUCCACUAUUGACCAGUCCUGUGACUGGGGUGACUCUCUUCAGCUUCCUGAGACUCCGUUUCCCCCUCUGUGAAAUAGGUAAUACUAAAUGAUCGCUCACGU